UACGUAGGGGGCAAGCGUUGUCCGGAAUCAUUGGGCGUAAAGAGCGUGUAGGCGGCUCGAUAAGUCUGCUGUGAAAGUCCAGGGCUCAACCCUGGAAGGCCGGUGGAAACUGUCGGGCUAGAGUCCGGAAGAGGCGAGUGGAAUUCCCGGUGUAGCGGUGAAAUGCGCAGAUAUCGGGAGGAACACCAAUGGCGAAGGCAGCUCGCUGGGACGGUACUGACGCUGAGACGCGAAAAGCGUGGGGGAGCAAACAGG
rnacentral:rRNA from 1 species